CCGGCGAUGUCCGAAUGGGGAAACCCAGUGCAAUUCGUUGCACUAUCGUUAACUGAAUACAUAGGUUAACGAGGCGAACCGGGGGAACUGAAACAUCUAAGUACCCCGAGGAAAAGAAAUCAACCGAGAUUCCCCCAGUAGCGGCGAGCGAACGGGGAGCAGCCCAGAGUCUGAAUCAGCUUGUGUGUUAGUGGAACGGUCUGGAAAGUCCGACGGUACAGGGUGAUAGUCCCGUACACCAAAAUGCACAGGUUGUGAACUCGAAGAGUAGGGCGGGACACGUGGUAUCCUGUCUGAAUAUGGGGGGACCAUCCUCCAAGGCUAAAUACUCCUGACUGACCGAUAGUGAACCAGUACCGUGAGGGAAAGGCGAAAAGAACCCCGGCGAGGGGAGUGAAAAAGAACCUGAAACCGUGUACGUACAAGCAGUGGGAGCACCUUCGGGUGUGACUGCGUACCUUUUGUAUAAUGGGUCAGCGACUUAUAUUCUGUAGCAAGGUUAACCGUAUAGGGGAGCCGCAGGGAAACCGAGUCUUAACUGGGCGUUAAGUUGCAGGGUAUAGACCCGAAACCCGGUGAUCUAGCCAUGGGCAGGUUGAAGGUUGGGUAACACUAACUGGAGGACCGAACCGACUAAUGUUGAAAAAUUAGCGGAUGACUUGUGGCUGGGGGUGAAAGGCCAAUCAAACCGGGAGAUAGCUGGUUCUCCCCGAAAGCUAUUUAGGUAGCGCCUCGUGAACUCAUCUUCGGGGGUAGAGCACUGUUUCGGCUAGGGGGUCAUCCCGACUUACCAACCCGAUGCAAACUACGAAUACCGAAGAAUGUUAUCACGGGAGACACACGGCGGGUGCUAACGUCCGUCGUGAAGAGGGAAACAACCCAGACCGCCAGCUAAGGUCCCAAAGUCAUGGUUAAGUGGGAAACGAUGUGGGAAGGCACAGACAGCCAGGAUGUUGGCUUAGAAGCAGCCAUCAUUUAAAGAAAGCGUAAUAGCUCACUGGUCGAGUCGGCCUGCGCGGAAGAUGUAACGGGGCUAAACCAUGCACCGAAGCUGCGGCAGCGACACUAUGUGUUGUUGGGUAGGGGAGCGUUCUGUAAGCCUGCGAAGGUGUGCUGUGAGGCAUGCUGGAGGUAUCAGAAGUGCGAAUGCUGACAUAAGUAACGAUAAAGCGGGUGAAAAGCCCGCUCGCCGGAAGACCAAGGGUUCCUGUCCAACGUUAAUCGGGGCAGGGUGAGUCGACCCCUAAGGCGAGGCCGAAAGGCGUAGUCGAUGGGAAACAGGUUAAUAUUCCUGUACUUGGUGUUACUGCGAAGGGGGGACGGAGAAGGCUAUGUUAGCCGGGCGACGGUUGUCCCGGUUUAAGCAUGUAGGCUGGUUAUCCAGGCAAAUCCGGAUAAUCAAGGCUGAGGUGUGAUGACGAGGCACUACGGUGCUGAAGUAACAAAUGCCCUGCUUCCAGGAAAAGCCUCUAAGCAUCAGGUAACAUCAAAUCGUACCCCAAACCGACACAGGUGGUCAGGUAGAGAAUACCAAGGCGCUUGAGAGAACUCGGGUGAAGGAACUAGGCAAAAUGGUGCCGUAACUUCGGGAGAAGGCACGCUGGUGUGUAGGUGAAGUCCCUGCGGAUGGAGCUGAGACCAGUCGAAGAUACCAGCUGGCUGCAACUGUUUAUUAAAAACACAGCACUGUGCAAACACGAAAGUGGACGUAUACGGUGUGACGCCUGCCCGGUGCCGGAAGGUUAAUUGAUGGGGUUAUCCGUAAGGAGAAGCUCUUGAUCGAAGCCCCGGUAAACGGCGGCCGUAACUAUAACGGUCCUAAGGUAGCGAAAUUCCUUGUCGGGUAAGUUCCGACCUGCACGAAUGGCGUAAUGAUGGCCAGGCUGUCUCCACCCGAGACUCAGUGAAAUUGAACUCGCUGUGAAGAUGCAGUGUACCCGCGGCAAGACGGAAAGACCCCGUGAACCUUUACUAUAGCUUGACACUGAACAUUGAGCCUUGAUGUGUAGGAUAGGUGGGAGGCUUUGAAGCGUGGACGCCAGUCUGCGUGGAGCCAACCUUGAAAUACCACCCUUUAAUGUUUGAUGUUCUAACGUUGGCCCCUGACCGGGGUUGCGGACAGUGUCUGGUGGGUAGUUUGACUGGGGCGGUCUCCUCCCAAAGCGUAACGGAGGAGCACGAAGGUUAGCUAAUCCUGGUCGGACAUCAGGAGGUUAGUGCAAUGGCAUAAGCUAGCUUGACUGCGAGCGUGACGGCGCGAGCAGGUGCGAAAGCAGGUCAUAGUGAUCCGGUGGUUCUGAAUGGAAGGGCCAUCGCUCAACGGAUAAAAGGUACUCCGGGGAUAACAGGCUGAUACCGCCCAAGAGUUCAUAUCGACGGCGGUGUUUGGCACCUCGAUGUCGGCUCAUCACAUCCUGGGGCUGAAGUAGGUCCCAAGGGUAUGGCUGUUCGCCAUUUAAAGUGGUACGCGAGCUGGGUUUAGAACGUCGUGAGACAGUUCGGUCCCUAUCUGCCGUGGGCGCUGGAGAAUUGAGGGGGGCUGCUCCUAGUACGAGAGGACCGGAGUGGACGCAUCACUGGUGUUCGGGUUGUCAUGCCAAUGGCACUGCCCGGUAGCUAAAUGCGGAAGAGAUAAGUGCUGAAAGCAUCUAAGCACGAAACUUGCCCCGAGAUGAGUUCUCCCUGAGACUAUAAGUCUCCUGAAGGAACGUUAAAGACGAUGACGUUGAUAGGCCGGGUGUGUAAGCGCAGCGAUGCGUUGAGCUAACCGGUACUAAUGAACCGUGAGGCUUAACCUU
rnacentral:rRNA from 1 species